UGGGGAAUAUUGGACAAUGGGGGGAACCCUGAUCCAGCCAUGCCGCGUGUGUGAAGAAGGCCUUAUGGUUGUAAAGCACUUUAAGCGAGGAGGAGGGUACUGGUAUUAAUACUACCAGGUACUGGACGUUACUCGCAGAAUAAGCACCGGCUAACUCUGUGCCAGCAGCCGCGGUAAUACAGAGGGUGCGAGCGUUAAUCGGAUUUACUGGGCGUAAAGCGUGCGUAGGCGGCUAAUUGAGUCGGAUGUGAAAUCCCCGAGCUUAACUUGGGAAUUGCAUUCGAUACUGGUUAGCUAGAGUGUGGGAGAGGAUGGUAGAAUUCCAGGUGUAGCGGUGAAAUGCGUAGAGAUCUGGAGGAAUACCGAUGGCGAAGGCAGCCAUCUGGCCUAACACUGACGCUGAGUUACGAAAGCAUGGGGAGCAAACAGG
rnacentral:rRNA from 1 species